rnacentral:rRNA from 2 species
GCCUAACGGCUGAACUGGCAACUUGGAGAAGUGGCAAGUCUUCCAGUAUGGGGAGCAAAACAGCUAUGGGUCAAGUCCGAUAUCUUUAGGAGAAGUCUUAUUGUGAGGGCGAGUUAUAUAACACCAUAGGACUGGCCGUCCCAUAUGAAAAGAUUAUAUUAGAAUUGAAUGAAGCUUUGUUUAUAUAUUGAUAAUGACAGUAUAUAUAUCGUGUCUUGACUAAUUGCGUGCCAGCAGUCGCGGUAAUACGUAAGAGACUAGUGUUAUUCAUCUUAAUUAGGUUUAAAGGGUACCCAGACGGUCAAUAUAGCUUAUAAAAUGUUAGUACUUGACUAGAGUUUUAUGUAAGAGGGCAGUACUUGAGGAGGAGAGAUGAAAUUUCGUGAUACCAAAGGGACUCUGUAAAGGCGAAGGCAGCCCUCUAUGUAAAAACUGACGUUGAAGGACGAAGGCACAGAGAACAAACAGGAUUAGAUACCCAAGUAGUCUUUGCAGUAAAUGAUGAAUGCCAUAGGUUAGAUUGAUCAAUUAUAGUCUAGGGUUAGUCUAGCAAACUAAUGCCCUAUGAUAUAAUUCAAAAUAUCUGGUCUAUAAAUGAAAGUGUAAGCAUUUCACCUCAAGAGUAAUGUGGCAACGCAGGAACUGAAAUCACUAGACCGUUUCUGACACC